rnacentral:lncRNA from 1 species
AUGCCUUCUCAUAGCCCAGGAAUAAGAGCAGAGAUAGACAAGAUCUCUCUUCCCUUCCUUUCCUCUCCCCCCCUCUCCGCCCUCCCCUUCUCCCUCUCUCCCUUUCUGUCUAUCUCUCCCCUUCUUCCCUCUGUGUCCCUCCCUCCUCCAUUCUCUCUCUCUCUCUCUCUCUCUCUCUCUCUCUCUCUCUCUCUCUCUCUCUCUCGUUCUCUCUCUGUGUCUCUCUGUCUCUGUCUGUCUGUCUGUCUAUCUGUCUGUCUCUCUGUCUCUCUGUGUCUCUCUCCCUCUCUCCCUCUUUCUCUCUUUCUCCCAGUUCCUCCCUCCUCUCUCUCCUUCCUCAUCUUUCUCUCUCCCUUUCUCUCUCUCCCUUUCUCUUUCUGUCUACCUCCCUCCUCUCUCCCCUCCCCUUUUCUCCAUCUCUCUCUUUCUGACUCUCCCUCUCAAUAGUUACUAAUAUCAAUAUACAUAUAUCUAUAUGCAUAUUUAUAUAUACAUAUAUAUAUAGUAUAAUUAAAUUUCCAUGAGUAAGAUGUGCAUUUUCUUUCUGUAGGGGCUCAGUUUCUCAGUCUCCUCAUCUAUAAAAUAAGGAAUUGGGCUUGGUGAUCCGUACUGUCUCUUUGGGCUCUUUAAUUCUAUGGUUACUACAAAGAUUAAUUCUCUGCUAGCAAAAAUAUGUUCUCCACUACAAAAUGGAAAACAGUUUGGAAAAGGAUUCAAUGACUCCUUUGGUUCUCUUUUCUUUCCUCUACUCUUAGAAGGUCUGGGAUUUGUUUGUAUUAUCAUUAUUUUUGCCUCCAUUUCUAUUUUCCCUUUUCAAAUUAUGGGCUUGAAUCAAAAUCUCAUAUUAAUUGACCUCCCUAGACCAAGAGUUAAAUUGCACACACUCAAAUUCUGACUUUAUGGGAUCAUAAAGUUAGAGAUGAGAAAGGCCUAUUAGGUCAUGUUCUCCAUUCUUUGCUAACACCAAAUUGUUCCCUGAUGCCAGCUUUCCUCUUAGCUAGUUUUAAAUGUCCUUAGCGAUGCUGUGAUUCAACCACACACACACACACACAUAAUAAUAAUAAUAUUCCUAACCACAGUGGAUCGCAAUAACAAGUACCUUUAUUUCAGGAAGUUCACAUUACACUUCAGAUACUCUGCCAGAUCCUACCUUGGAGUCAAUUAUUUCGCAAGAGUAGAGUAGGUCCUUGGGGAUGCAUAUUUUCAGUAGGACAGGUAAUUCUUAGUAAAUGUUACCCUGGCAGGCCAUCAGAAGUGGUAAAUACUAAAUAGUAGGGACCCAGAUGUCUUCUAAAAAGUUAAUUCAUUUCCCAAAGGUAGCUACCUCCCAAAUGGGGCAUAUUCAACACCUAAAUGAAAAUGAGACCAGGUUGGAAUAGGGUUCUGAAGGCUCAUGUGUCUUAUUUAUAUCGUUUUAUUUUUUUACAUAUCUCAAAUAUCUAAAUUU